UGGGGUGUGGCCAAGUGGUAAGGCAGCGCCUUUUGGUGGCGCUAUUCGUAGGUUCGAAUCCUACCACCCCAGCCA
rnacentral:tRNA from 1 species